rnacentral:rRNA from 1 species
GGUUGCGAUCAUACCAGCACUAAUGCACCGGAUCCCAUCAGAACUCCGCAGUUAAGCGUGCUUGGGCGAGAGUAGUACUAGGAUUGUAAGGACCGCUUUUCAAAAAUAAUAG